rnacentral:rRNA from 1 species
GACGAACGCUGGCGGCGUGCUUAACACAUGCAAGUCGAACGAAGUGGCGAACGGGUGAGUAACGCGUAAUCAACCUGCUCUUCAGAGGGUGACAACAGUUGGAAACGACUGCUAAUACCGCAUAUUGAAGGUGGGGAUUGCGUCUAAUUAGCUAGUUGGAGGGGGAACGGCCCACCAAGGCGAUGAUCAGUAGCCGGUCUGAGAGGAUGAACGGCCAAAUUGGGACUGGGAAACGGCCCAGACUCCUACGGGAGGCAGCAGUGGGGAAUCUUCCGGAAUGGACGGAAGUCUGGCGGAGCAACGCCGGGUGAGUGAUGACGGCCUUCGGGUUGUAAAGCUCUGUUAAUCGGGGCGCGGUACCGGAAUAGAAAGCCACGGCUAACUACGUGCCAGCAGCCGCGGUAAUAC